rnacentral:sRNA from 1 species
UUACAAAAGAACUUUUCAGUACAUAAUUUACACAGAAGCAAUGCUGUCACCUUCCCUGAUGUGGACUCGGGCAUGGAUGUGACCAUCCUCCCCUUUGGAGUCAGGGUGGUUUUUGGAAGGGUGAAGGACUUCCUGUAACCAUCUAUGACAUGGAUACUUGGAGUGACUAUUAAAAAAAAAAACAAA